rnacentral:rRNA from 1 species
UACGUAGGGUGCGAGCGUUAAUCGGAAUUACUGGGCGUAAAGCGUGCGCAGGCGGUUGUGCAAGUCAGGUGUGAAAUCCCCGGGCUUAACCUGGGAACUGCACUUGUGACUGCACAGCUGGAGUACGGCAGAGGGGGAUGGAAUUCCGCGUGUAGCAGUGAAAUGCGUAGAUACUGGGAGGAACACCGGUGGCGAAGGCGGCUACUUGGACCGGAUCUGACGCUGAUGCGCGAAAGCGUGGGGAGCAAACAGG